rnacentral:rRNA from 1 species
AUCUGCGAUAAGCGCCGGUAAGGUGAUAUGAACCGUUAUAACCGGCGAUUUCCGAAUGGGGAAACCCAGUGUGACUCGUCACACUAUCAUUAACUGAAUCCAUAGGUUAAUGAGGCGAACCGGGGGAACUGAAACAUCUAAGUACCCCGAGGAAAAGAAAUCAACCGAGAUUCCCCCAGUAGCGGCGAGCGAACGGGGAGGAGCCCAGAGCCUGAAUCAGCAUGUGUGUUAGUGGAAGCGUCUGGAAAGGCGCGCGAUACAGGGUGACAGCCCCGUACACAAAAGCGCAUGUGCUGUGAGCUCGAUGAGUAGGGCGGGACACGUGGUAUCCUGUCUGAAUAUGGGGGGACCAUCCUCCAAGGCUAAAUACUCCUGACUGACCGAUAGUGAACCAGUACCGUGAGGGAAAGGCGAAAAGAACCCCGGCGAGGGGAGUGAAAAAGAACCUGAAACCGUGUACGUACAAGCAGUGGGAGCACCCUUUGGGGUGUGACUGCGUACCUUUUGUAUAAUGGGUCAGCGACUUAUAUUCUGUAGCAAGGUUAACCGAAUAGGGGAGCCGGAGGGAAACCGAGUCUUAAU